rnacentral:rRNA from 1 species
GACGAACGCUGGCGGCGUGCUUAACACAUGCAAGUCGAACGGAAAGGCCCUGCUUUUGUGGGGUGCUCGAGUGGCGAACGGGUGAGUAACACGUGAGUAACCUGCCCUUGACUUUGGGAUAACUUCAGGAAACUGGGGCUAAUACCGGAUAGGAGCUCCUGCUGCAUGGUGGGGGUUGGAAAGUUUCGGCGGUUGGGGAUGGACUCGCGGCUUAUCAGCUUGUUGGUGGGGUAGUGGCUUACCAAGGCUUUGACGGGUAGCCGGCCUGAGAGGGUGACCGGCCAAAUUGGGACUGAGAUACGGCACAGACUCCUACGGGACGCGGCAGUGGGGAAUAUUGCACAAUGGGCGGAAGCCUGAUGCAGCAACGCCGCGUGCGGGAUAACGGCCUGCGGGUUGUAAUCCGCUUUCGCCUGUGACGAAGCGUGAGUGACGGUAAUGGGUAAAGAAGCACCGGCUAACUACGUG